CGUGUAGGCGGUUGGGUAAGUCAGAUGUGAAAGCCCUGGGCUCAACCCAGGAAGUGCAUUUGAAACUAUCCAACUUGAGUACGGGAGAGGAAGGGGGAAUUCCCGGUGUAGAGGUGAAAUUCGUAGAUAUCGGGAGGAAUACCGGUGGCGAAGGCGCCCUUCUGGACUGAUACUGACGCUGAGACGCGAAAGCGUGGGGAGCAAACA
rnacentral:rRNA from 1 species